ACGAACGCUGGCGGCGUGCUUAACACAUGCAAGUCGAACGGAAAGGCCCUGCUUUUGUGGGGUGCUCGAGUGGCGAACGGGUGAGUAACACGUGAGUAACCUGCCCUUGACUUUGGGAUAACUUCAGGAAACUGGGGCUAAUACCGGAUAGGAGCUCCUGCUGCAUGGUGGGGGUUGGAAAGUUUCGGCGGUUGGGGAUGGACUCGCGGCUUAUCAGCUUGUUGGUGGGGUAGUGGCUUACCAAGGCUUUGACGGGUAGCCGGCCUGAGAGGGUGACCGGCCACAUUGGGCCUGAGAUACGGCCCAGACUCCUACGGGAGGCAGCAGUGGGGAAUAUUGCACAAUGGGCGGAAGCCUGAUGCAGCAACGCCGCGUGCGGGAUGACGGCCUUCGGGUUGUAAACCGCUUUCGCCUGUGACGAAGCGUGAGUGACGGUAAUGGGUAAAGAAGCACCGGCUAACUACGUG
rnacentral:rRNA from 1 species